rnacentral:rRNA from 1 species
AACGAACGCUGGCGGCAUGCCUAACACAUGCAAGUCGAACGAAGCCUUCGGGCUUAGUGGCGCACGGGUGCGUAACGCGUGGGAAUCUGCCCUUGGGUUCGGAAUAACAGUUAGAAAUGACUGCUAAUACCGGAUGAUGUCCUCGGACCAAAGAUUUAUCGCCCAAGGAUGAGCCCGCGUCGGAUUAGCUAGUUGGUGAGGUAAAGGCUCACCAAGGCGACGAUCCGUAGCUGGUCUGAGAGGAUGAUCAGCCACACUGGGACUGAGACACGGCCCAGACUCCUACGGGAGGCAGCAGUGGGGAAUAUUGGACAAUGGGCGAAAGCCUGAUCCAGCAAUGCCGCGUGAGUGAUGAAGGCCUUAGGGUUGUAAAGCUCUUUUACCCGGGAUGAUAAUGACAGUACCGGGAGAAUAAGCCCCGGCUAACUCCGUGCCAGCCGCCGCGGUAACAC